rnacentral:lncRNA from 1 species
ACUUUAUCCAGCCAAGAAGACUCAGAAGGUAUGUUUAAGUCUUUUGACCUCCGCACGAUAAUUAUGUUCGCCAUUGGUAGCGGGAUCCUGGCGGCCAUGCUCAUGCUGAUAGGACUGGUCCUCUGUCUUCACGUCAAACUCUCCAAGGCACUGAAAGCUGCAAAGGAAUGCUGUUCAAACAAGUUCCAGAGUAAGGGAAACCCACCUAAAGGCAUCACCGAGACUUCUCCUGCCCUCCAGUGCUGUGAUGAAUGUAGCAUGUAUACAGAUUAUGAUUCCCUGCCACCUUGCCUUUGUGGCAAAAAUGAGGGACUCUGACAUGGGAAUGGUGGACAUAAAAAUCUUGAGCAAUAUUUCUU